rnacentral:rRNA from 1 species
UUCCGGUUGAUCCCGCCGGAGGCCACUGCUAUGGGGGUCCGACUAAGCCAUGCGAGUCAUGGGGCGCCUUGCGCGCACCGGCGGACGGCUCAGUAACACGUCGGUAACCUACCCUCGGGAGGGGGGUAACCCCGGGAAACUGGGGCUAAUCCCCCAUAGGCCUGAGGUACUGGAAGGUCCUCAGGCCGAAAGGGGCUCUGCCCGCCCGAGGAUGGGCCGGCGGCCGAUUAGGUAGUUGGUGGGGUAACGGCCCACCAAGCCGAAGAUCGGUACGGGCCAUGAGAGUGGGAGCCCGGAGAUGGACACUGAGACACGGGUCCAGGCCCUACGGGGCGCAGCAGGCGCGAAACCUCCGCAAUGCGGGCAACCGCGACGGGGGGACCCCCAGUGCCGUGGCAUCGCCACGGCUUUUCCGGAGUGUAAAGAGCUCCGGGAAUAAGGGCUGGGCAAGGCCGGUGGCAGCCGCCGCGGUAAUACCGGCGGCCCGAGUGGUGGCCGCUAUUAUUGGGCCUAAAGCGUCCGUAGCCGGGCCCGUAAGUCCCUGGCGAAAUCCCACGGCUCAACCGUGGGGCUUGCUGGGGAUACUGCGGGCCUUGGGACCGGGAGAGGCGGAGGGUACUCCUGGGGUAGGGGUGAAAUCCUAUAAUCCCAGGAGGACCGCCAGUGGCGAAGGCACUCCGCUGGAACGGGUCCGACGGUGAGGGACGAAGGCCAGGGGAGCGAACCGGAUUAGAUACCCGGGUAGUCCUGGCUGUAAAGGAUGCGGGCUAGGUGUCGGGCGAGCUUCGUGCUCGCCCGGUGCCGAAGGGAAGCCGUUAAGCCCGCCGCCUGGGGAGUACGGCCGCAAGGCUGAAACUUAAAGGAAUUGGCGGGGGAGCACUACAAGGGGUGGAGCGUGCGGUUUAAUUGGAAUCAACGCCGGG